UUUUAAUUUUUUCACUUUUCUCAUGGACAAUCUCCACAUUUUAUGUCAUUUCUUUUUCUUGAAGUAACUAACCUUGAAUGGAAAAAUUGGUAUUUUUCUUUUCCCACCAGCAUGUUGAAUCAUCCAUUUGUCUGGUAACUUGAGACAGCCGGUAGAGGAGUCACAAGAGUAGGUACCUUUCCAUGAGCUCACCUCUGUUCCACUCCCAUCUCAUAAAGGGUGUGACAGAUACUUCACAGAAGGCAAGGAGAAAACAGGUCAGAAGUAUGUUAUUGGGGGCUUAGCACUGAUUUUGGUUCUGACAAGCUGGCCACUCAGAGACAGCAGUAGCUAUGUCUGUCUCAGUAUGUGGUAGACCAUGCUGUUGGGCCCAUAUAUAUAUAGCCUCCAUGCCUGCCACUGGGGCUACUUCAUUCACGUACCCACUGUGUCAGUUCUGGGAUGACUAAAAUCAACUGGGCACCAUCCACCCUCCCCAUGCAUUUUAAAUGCCUGCAUCAUCAUAUUUGCUACAGCAUUUUACUUCACCAGGAUAUUUUUCCAGGUCAUCAUGAGUGAAGUCUUGAGCCACUGAGCCACUACCACCUUGUGCCAAAUACUAUCUGUGCCCUGCCUGCCAACCAGGAUGACAACCCUUCACCUGCCAGGUGGAGAGAGACAGCAGCAGGCUAACUAGUUGUCUGUUAAGAACAUCCAGAGCAGGACCAGAAUCUGGGCCAGGAACUGAGAGACAGAUUGGGACAACGGAACAAAUCUACCAGGGAUGCUCAAUAAAGGAAUGUAGAAGAAUGUUGGGAGAGAAGCAUUCUCACCUAUUUCUGAUCUUAACAGGAUGCAGCAGGAAGAUGCCCUCUUGGAAGCACAGACAAGGCCCUCACCAGACACU
rnacentral:lncRNA from 10 species